CACCAAAAUUAGUGAUCUUUAGGGAAAUAUGAUCCAUUGAAUUGCUAAGGAACUCUUUACUGUGUUGAAAGCUAGAAACCAAUCCCACCAAAUUCACAAAAAAAGAAAGUCAAUCUUCUCUCUUUUGUUGUUUUAGGGCACAAGAGAGGCUCAGGCCUCAAAGGGCAAAUACAAGAUUACAAGAAAAAUCCAGUGACAUGUCAAACAAGUAUAAUGGACAAUAAAGCAGAUAAUGCAUAAAUGUGAAAGAUUCAUAUGCUUCUGUAAACUAAUGUAUGAAUGAAAUGAAAGGGAAAAGGGAGAGAGUAGUGAAUUGAAGAGAAUAGUAAGUCAGCAUUAACUAGACCUGGCCAAGGGCCAGUUCA
rnacentral:misc_RNA from 1 species